CCUACCCUAGAAGCAUUGUAGGUGUGGCUACUGUGUCACAUGUGCAUCAAUCAGAAGGUGGCAGAGAGAAGAAAGGUUAUGUCUAUGCUCAGGGUCCUGAUUUACAAACAUCCGAACGAUGAGUACCCUAACACA